GACGAACCGUACGAACGUUAUUCGGAAUUACUGGGCUUAAAGGGUGCGUAGGCGGCGCAGUAAGUUGGGUGUGAAAUCCCUCGGCUUAACCGAGGAAUUGCGCCCAAAACUACUGUGCUCGAGGGAGAUAGAGGUGAGCGGAACUUAGGGUGGAGCGGUGAAAUGCGUUGAUAUCCUAAGGAGCACCGGUGGCGAAAGCGGCUCACUGGAUCUCUUCUGACGCUGAGGCACGAAAGCUAGGGUAGCAAACGGG
rnacentral:rRNA from 1 species